UUUAAAGGCUAAAAGUUACAAGAACAUUUUCCAUCUAAUAGUUUUUUAACGACUAUAUUUUGAUGCAAUGACUACAGAAAGAUGCACAAAUUGUAACUCUGCACACAGUGAGCACAUCUCCUUCCCCACAGCGCAAGCCCAGAGGAACAGCAGCCCAGCACCUGAAGUUUUCCUUGUUCCUGGCUGCAUCCUGGCUGCAGCCACAGGUCUCCACCAUCCUCCUCCUGUUCUCCUGUGGGAACGCCCUAUACUGAUUUUUUUCCGAGCUUUUUCAUGGAGUUAUCACGAGACUCAGCCACACUGCACCGUGCUGCGCGUCAUUCUACGCCAUUCCCAUCGCUGCAAAGGGUUUCACGUCAUGGGCAGACCAGGCCUUGUCCACUUUUUCUCUUGUUGGUGAUACCUGAGCUGUACUUCAGUGCUUAGCUGUCAUAACACUGCUGCCAUGAACAUUUUGUGCAGGUCUUUGGAUGCACAAAAGCACACAUUUCCACACAUGCGUAGGAGGGCCAUUUCUGGGCCAUAGGAUAAGCAUAUGUGAGCGUGGACACUCACGCCAGCCAUUUUGUGAGUUCUGCUGGUUUCACUCUCACCAGCUCUUGAUAUAUUAGUGUUUUAAAGUUUUGUGGGGUUAUACAGCCGAAGGACAUGGUGCAUCUUUAUGGACAUCUCUUUUGAGAGCCUUUUUGCCUGUGUUCUCAUCUGUCUUAUUCUUAGAGGUUGGCAAGGGGUCUUUCAUCACAUUUAAAUGGAGCAUGCAAUGAUAAGGGCGAGACAGCACCCCCUUAGAGCUUGCCCAAGUCCUUAGCUGCUCCUGAGGGCUCACGGAGGUUUUGUAUCACGGCAACUUAGGCCGAUUUCUACCACUUUUGGUGUGUUCUCCUGGCAAGCCCAGGCCAGAAGGAGAUGAGAGAGCAGGGUCUCCAUGGGAUGCCCAUUUUGCCUUCCUGCUCCUCUUGCACAAUGGGAAGGAGUCAGUGUGAGCCUGGGAGCUGAGUGAAGAGUGUUUGUUCCAGUGGUUGGAUGGUGUCUGACAGUCCUCGGGAACAACAUUCACCAAUGUUCUGUGUCAGGGCUGAAACUGCGGGAAAUGGAAGUCUUCCAUGGUCUUGGAGUGGGAGAUUCCCAGAGGUUAAAGGACGGGCUGGAUGUCAACAUGCUUAAAUGAAAGUUGGCCCUUGGUGGCACCCUGAGACCUGGUGGCCCACCUCUGCCCAUGCGCCUCAGUGAAGGGACACUCAGUUCCAGUUUUCCAGGCAAACCGACCAUUAGUGGGGGCUUAGUAUAGACAGCUCUUGGUUCACACGGGACGUGCUUCCUGUUGCUUCUGCCCACGGGUCCAGGAGUAAGGCCACUUGCUCACUCUGAGAAAAGCUCUUCAGAUAUUUGAAGACAGUCAUCAUGUCAUGAUCUUGUCCCUUAAUCUUUCAUUUAGGCUGAAAAUAAAAUCUUACCUCUUUGAAACAGACACCUGUAAACAGGGAGGAGAGCACCGCAGUCAAGAACUCACAGGCUGAAGAUGAGUGGUUUGCUGAGGACUUCUCUGGUUCAGGACAUCCAUUGUGUUUCCUUCUGUUUAUCUUCUCUUUAUUAAACAGUGAUUACCAAGUGGCUCCUGUGGCUCGUUAAGACCCUCAGCUUCCUUUAGUCAGGUACUGCCUUUCACUUUGUGGGCCUGUCUCCUUCCUGGCUGCCAACACCUGCUGUUACUUUUUUUUUUUGGAGCAUUGUUAACAGAAGAAUUUUGCGGUGAGCAUCUUCUAAGUGUGCAACCUGGUGAAUAGCACGGCUCUCCUCAAAUCUCACUUUUCUGCGUGUUCGUAUUCCAAGGUAAUUUUAAAAACUGCUAUAAUGUGUCUUUUCUCAGUUACGUGAGGAAAUAUCCUUGAUAAUUCUUCUUUUCCUGGAAUUCAAGAACACUUGCAGAGCUGUUCUGAACAGAGGCUGCACUGUUCAUUUCUCCCUUGGAGAGGGAAAAAGAACUAGAAAGGGAUUUGUUGAUUCAUGGUAAUAGAGAAACACCCGGGCACAGGGAGGCAGUUCCUUUGAGUUUGAUUCUCACUGUGCAUGACUGUUGAUUCCCUCAAUAGUCAGUGGAUAUUUAUGAAGUGCCUGCCUAUGUCAGACCCCUGCUGCAGUGUGGAGGGCGCGGGGUGCACACUGCCCUCACCUGGGACGCAGAAUGACGCAGCUCUGGAGCCCCCACAGUUUGCUUCUGAUUAGUGCCUUGGGGAUGUACUUAAUGGUGAGGUUCACUGUGGU
rnacentral:lncRNA from 1 species